rnacentral:rRNA from 1 species
GAUGAACGCUGGCGGCGUGCCUAAUACAUGCAAGUCGAGCGAACGGACGAGAAGCUUGCUUCUCUGAUGUUAGCGGCGGACGGGUGAGUAACACGUGGAUAACCUACCUAUAAGACUGGGAUAACUUCGGGAAACCGUAGCUAAUACCGGAUAAUAUUUUGAACCGCAUGGUUCAAAAGUGAAAGACGGUCUUGCUGUCACUUAUAGAUGGAUCCGCGCUGCAUUAGCUAGUUGGUAAGGUAACGGCUUACCAAGGCAACGAUGCAUAGCCGACCUGAGAGGGUGAUCGGCCACACUGGAACUGAGACACGGUCCAGACUCCUACGGGAGGCAGCAGUAGGGAAUCUUCCGCAAUGGGCGAAAGCCUGACGGAGCAACGCCGCGUGAGUGAUGAAAGUCUUCGGAUCGUAAAACUCUGUUAUUAGGGAAGAACAUAUGUGUAAGUUACUGUGCACCUCCUGACCGUACCCUAUUCAAAAAGCCACGGUUAAAUACCUGCCACCGCCCCCGUUAAUACUUAGGUGGCAGCGUUAUCCGGAAUAUUGGGCCGAAAAGCGCGCGUAGGCGGUUUUUUAGUCUGAUGUGAAAGCCCACGGCUCAUUCGUGGAGGGUCAUUGGAAACUGGAAAACUUGAGUGCAGAAGAGGAAAGUGGAAUUCCAUGUGUAGCGGUGAAAUGCGCAGAGAUAUGGAGGAACACCAGUGGCGAAGGCGACUUUCUGGUCUGUAACUGACGCUGAUGUGCGAAAGCGUGGGGAUCAAACAGGAUUAGAUACCCUGGUAGUCCACGCCGUAAACGAUGAGUGCUAAGUGUUAGGGGGUUUCCGCCCCUUAGUGCUGCAGCUAACGCAUUAAGCACUCCGCCUGGGGAGUACGACCGCAAGGUUGAAACUCAAAGGAAUUGACGGGGACCCGCACAAGCGGUGGAGCAUGUGGUUUAAUUCGAAGCGACGCGAAGAACCUUACCAAAUCUUGACAUCCUUUGACAACUCUAGAGAUAGAGCCUUCCCCUUCGGGGGACAAAGUGACAGGUGGUGCAUGGUUGUCGUCAGCUCGUGUCGUGAGAUGUUGGGUUAAGUCCCGCAACGAGCGCAACCCUUAAGCUUAGUUGCCAUCAUUAAGUUGGGCACUCUAAGUUGACUGCCGGUGACAAACCGGAGGAAGGUGGGGAUGACGUCAAAUCAUCAUGCCCCUUAUGAUUUGGGCUACACACGUGCUACAAUGGACAAUACAAAGGGCAGCGAAACCGCGAGGUCAAGCAAAUCCCAUAAAGUUGUUCUCAGUUCGGAUUGUAGUCUGCAACUCGACUACAUGAAGCUGGAAUCGCUAGUAAUCGUAGAUCAGCAUGCUACGGUGAAUACGUUCCCGGGUCU